rnacentral:rRNA from 1 species
AUUGAACGCUGGCGGCAGGCUUAACACAUGCGAGUCGAGCGGGGUGAUGGUGCUUGCACUAUCACUUAGCGGCGGACGGGUGAGUAAUGCUUAGGAAUCUGCCUAUUAGUGGGGGACAACAUCUCGAAAGGGAUGCUAAUACCGCAUACGUCCUACGGGAGAAAGCAGGGGAUCACUUGUGACCUUGCGCUAAUAGAUGAGCCUAAGUCGGAUUAGCUAGUUGGUGGGGUAAAGGCCUACCAAGGCGACGAUCUGUAGCGGGUCUGAGAGGAUGAUCCGUCACACUGGGACUGAGACACGGCCCAGACUCCUACGGGAGGCAGCAGUGGGGAAUAUUGGACAAUGGGGGGAACCCUGAUCCAGCCAUGCCGCGUGUGUGAAGAAGGCCUUAUGGUUGUAAAGCACUUUAAGCGAGGAGGAGGCUCUUUUGGUUAAUACCCAAGAUGAGUGGACGUUACUCGCAGAAUAAGCACCGGCUAACUCUGUGCCAGCCGCCGCAGUAA